rnacentral:sRNA from 1 species
AUAAACCGCUGCUGGAGCUGGCUG